CGGUGAUAGCCGGGCGGGUGCGGCCGGUGAAGUUGGCCAGCGAUUCGCCGAUGGCCAGUUCGAUGCGGGUGUCGCUGA
rnacentral:tRNA from 1 species